rnacentral:rRNA from 1 species
CGUGAGUGAAGAAGGCUUUCGGGUCGUAAAGCUCUGUCAAGUGGGAAAAAAUUUUUAUGGUCAAUAGCCAUAAGAACUGAUGGUACCAUUGAAGGAAGCACCGGCUAACUCCGUGCCAGCAGCCGCGGUAAUACGGAGGGUGCAAGCGUUGUUCGGAAUUACUGGGCGUAAAGGGCGUGCAGGCGGUUUGGUAAGUCAGAUGUGAAAGCCCUGGGCUUAACCUGGGAAGUGCGUUUGAAACUGCCGGACUAGAGUAUGGGAGAGGAGAGUGGAAUUCCCAAUGUAGAGGUGAAAUUCGUAGAUAUUGGGAGGAACACCCGUGGCGAAGGCGGCUCUCUGGACCAAUACUGACGCUGAGACGCGAAAGCGUGGGUAGCAAACAGGAUUAGAUACCCUGGUAGUCCACGCUGUAAACGAUGAGAACUAGGUGUAGCGGGUAUUGACCCCUGCUGUGCCGUAGUUAACGCAUUAAGUUCUCCGCCUGGGGAGUACGGUCGCAAGGCUA